CAGCCAUGCCGCGUGAGUGAAGAAGGCCUUCGGGUUGUAAAGCUCUUUCAGCCGGAAAGAAAACGCAUGGGUUAAUAAUCUGUGUGGAUGACGGUACCGGAAGAAGAAGCACCGGCUAACUACGUGCCAGCAGCCGCGGUAAUACGUAGGGUGCGAGCGUUAAUCGGAAUUACUGGGCGUAAAGCGUGCGCAGGCGGUUUUGUAAGACGGAUGUGAAAUCCCCGGGCUUAACCUGGGAACUGCAUUUGUGACUGCAAGGCUAGAGUACGGCAGAGGGGGGUAGAAUUCCACGUGUAGCAGUGAAAUGCGUAGAUAUGUGGAGGAAUACCGAUGGCGAA
rnacentral:rRNA from 1 species